rnacentral:rRNA from 1 species
UGAGCUCAGACAAGGCUACCCGCUGAACUUAAGCAUAA